rnacentral:rRNA from 1 species
AUUGAACGCUGGCGGCAGGCCUAACACAUGCAAGUCGAACGGUAACAGGAAGCAGCUUGCUGCUUCGCUGACGAGUGGCGGACGGGUGAGUAAUGUCUGGGAAGCUGCCUGAUGGAGGGGGAUAACUACUGGAAACGGUAGCUAAUACCGCAUAAUGUCGCAAGACCAAAGAGGGGGACCUUCGGGCCUCUUGCCAUCGGAUGUGCCCAGAUGGGAUUAGCUUGUUGGUGGGGUAACGGCUCACCAAGGCGACGAUCCCUAGCUGAUCUGAGAGGAUGACCAGCCACACUGGAACUGAGACACGGUCCAGACUCCUACGGGAGGCAGCAGUGGGGAAUAUUGCACAAUGGGCGCAAGCAUGAUGCAGCCAUGCCGCGUGUAUGAAGAAGGCCUUCGGGUUGUAAAGUACUUUCAGCGGGGAGGAAGGGAGUAAAGUUAAUACCUUUGCCCAUUGACGUUACCCGCAGAAGAAGCACCGGCUAACUCCGUG